UACGGGGGGGGCAAGCGUUGGUCGGAAUUACUGGGCGUAAAGGGCUCGUAGGUGGCCAACUAAGUCAGACGUGAAAUCCCUCGGCUUAACCGGGGAACUGCGUCUGAUACUGGAUGGCUUGAGUUUGGGAGAGGGACGCGGAAUUCCAGGUGUAGCGGUGAAAUGCGUAGAUAUCUGGAGGAACACCGGUGGCGAAGGCGGCGUCCUGGACCAACACUGACACUGAUGAGCGAAAGCCAGGGGAGCAAACGGG
rnacentral:rRNA from 1 species